rnacentral:rRNA from 1 species
CCUACGGGGGGCAGCAGUAGGGAAUCUUUCACAAUGGGCGAAAGCCUGCUGGAGCAACGCCGCGUGCAGGAUGAAGGUCUUCGGGUUGUAAACUGCUUUUAUAAGCGAGAAAUAUGAUGGUAACUUAUGAAUAAGGCUCGGCUAACUACGUGCCAGCAGCCGCGGUCAUACGUAGGAUCCGAGCAUUAUCCGGAGUGACUGGGUGUAAAGAGUUGAGUAGGUGGCAUAAUAAGUAGCUAGUGAAAUCUGGUGGCUCAACCAUUCAGACUAUUAGCUAAACUGUUAAGCUCGAGAGCGUUAGGGGUAACUGGAAGUUCUAGUGUAGGAGUGAAAUCCGUAGAUAUUAGAAGGAACACCAAUAGCGUAGGCAGGUUACUGGGACGGUUCUGACACUAAGGCACGAAAGCGUAGGGAGCAAACGGGAUUAGAUACCCGAGUAGUC